rnacentral:rRNA from 1 species
GAUUAACGCUAGCGGCAGGCCUAAUACAUGCAAGUCGAACGGGAUUUCGGGUAGCAAUAUCUGAAUGAGAGUGGCGCACGGGUGCGUAACACGUAUGUAACCUGCCUCUGACUGGGGGAUAGCCUUCCGAAAGGAAGAUUAAUACCGCAUAACAUACUAAUGUAGCAUUACAAUAGUAUCAAACCUCAGGGGGUCAGAGAUGGGCAUGCGUCCGAUUAGCUAGUUGGUGAGGUAACGGCUCACCAAGGCUACGAUCGGUAGGGGGUCUGAGAGGAUGAUCCCCCACACUGGUACUGAGACACGGACCAGACUCCUACGGGAGGCAGCAGUAAGGAAUAUUGGACAAUGGGCGAAAGCCUGAUCCAGCCAUGCCGCGUGCAGGAUG